rnacentral:rRNA from 1 species
UACAGAGGUCUCAAGCGUUGUUCGGAUUCAUUGGGCGUAAAGGGUGCGUAGGUGGCGUCGUAAGUCGGGUGUGAAAUUUCGGAGCUUAACUCCGAAACUGCAUUCGAUACUGCGGUGCUUGAGGACUGGAGAGGAGACUGGAAUUUACGGUGUAGCAGUGAAAUGCGUAGAGAUCGGGAGGAACACCAGUGGCGAAGGCGGCUACCUGGACCAGCACUGACACUGAGGCACGAAGGUCAGGGGAGCAAACGGG